CAUGCCGUAAACGAUGAGUGCUAGGUGUUGGAGGGUUUCCGCCCUUCAGUGCCGCAGCUAACGCAAUAAGCACUCCGCCUGGGGAGUACGACCGCAAGGUUGAAACUCAAAGGAAUUGACGGGGGCCCGCACAAGCGGUGGAGCAUGUGGUUUAAUUCGAAGCUACGCGAAGAACCUUACCAGGUCUUGACAUCUUGCGCUAACCUCAGAGAUGAGACGUUCCCUUCGGGGACGCAAUGACAGGUGG
rnacentral:rRNA from 1 species